CCUACGGGUGGCUGCAGUGAGGAAUCUUCGGCAAUGGACGAGAGUCUGAACCAGCCAAGUAGCGUGAAGGAUGACUGCCCUCUGGGCUGUAAACUUCUUUUAUAUGGGAAUACAAUGUUGCUCGUGAGGGAAUUUGUACGUACCAUAUGAAUAAGGAUCGGCUAACCCCGUGCCAGCAGCCGCGGUAAUACGGAGGAUCCGAGCGUUAGCCGGAUUUAUUGGGUUUAAAGGGAGCGUAGGUGGAUUGUUAAGUCAGUUGUGAAAGUUUGCGGCUCAACCGUAAAAUUGCAGUUGAAACUGGCAGUCUUGAGUACAGUAGAGGUGGGCGGAAUUCGUGGUGUAGCGGUGAAAUGCUUAGAUAUCACGAAGAACUCCGAUUGCGAAGGCAGUUCACUGGACUGCAACUGACACUGAGGCUCGAAAGUGUGGGUAUCAAACAGGAUUAGAUACCCCUGUAGUC
rnacentral:rRNA from 1 species